rnacentral:rRNA from 1 species
UGCCAGCAGCCGCGGUAAUACGGAGGGGGUUAGCGUUGUUCGGAAUUACUGGGCGUAAAGCGCACGUAGGCGGAUUGGAAAGUUGGGGUGAAAUCCCGGGGCUCAACCCCGGAACUGCCUCCAAAACUAUCAGUCUAGAGUUCGAGACCGGAAGAGGGUAGUGGAAUUCCCAGUGUAGAGGUGAAAUUCGUAGAUAUUGGGAAGAACACCAGUGGCGAAGGCGGCUACCUGGUCCGGAUCUGACGCUGAGGCGCGAAAGCGUGGGGAGCAAACAGGAUUAGAUA